rnacentral:rRNA from 1 species
CGGGAAAUGCAUAGAUAUCACGCAGAACUCCGAUUGCAAGGCAGCUUGCCAAGCCAUAACUGACACUGAAGCACGAAAGCGUGGGUAUCAAACAGGAUUAGAUACCCUGGUAGUCCACGCAGUAAACGAUGAUUACUAGGAGUUUGCGAUAUAAUGUAAGCUCUACAGCGAAAGCGUUAAGUAAUCCACCUGGGGAGUACGCCGGCAACGGUGAAACUCAAAGGAAUUGACGGGGCCCGCACAAGCGGAGGAACAUGUGGUUUAAUUCGAUGAUACGCGAGGAACCUUACCCGGGUUUGAACGCAGUCUGACCGCCGAUGAAAGUCGGCUUCUAGCAAUAGCGGAUUGCGAGGUGCUGCAUGGUUGUCGUCAGCUCGUGCCGUGAGGUGUCGGCUUAAGUGCCAUAACGAGCGCAACCCUUGCCGUUAGUUACUAACAAGUAAAGUUGAGGACUCUAGCGGGACUGCCAGCGUAAGCUGUGAGGAAGGCGGGGAUGACGUCAAAUCAGCACGGCCCUUACAUCC